GUCGUUCCCUCCCUUCCCUCCUUGGAUCCCUUCUUGAGGCUUCGGGCUUAUUCCUACUAGUCUCGUAGGAGCCCCCAAGUCAUUGUACCAAAUUCUCAUAGGGGAGCCUUCAGAUCUAGUGGCUUCCAUAGUUAUUGGAGGAGGAUCCAAAAGUCAUUCCUCAAUUAUGUUGGUUCUCGAAAAGUGAGGGAGGUCCCUGAUCCUAGUAUUUCCUCCAUUCCUUCACUCAACAAAUGCCUUGCCCUCCCUACUCCUAGCACUGUGUCUACUGCUAUAAGUAGUAGUGUUGGUUUUAUGAAAUGGAAUCAGUCCAAGGAUGGUUGGAUGUCCUAUGCCAAUGAUUUCCUAUCUUCUUGGCCUGGCAGCGAGUUAGUUAUUGGUUCCUCCUUAGGUGUCCCCCCUAGAAAAUGAGUAGUUGAGGAGAUUUGAUCUGCAACUCCUCUUGGCAAGGGGAAAGAAAAGAAAGGCAAGAAGGGUGCCAAGGGGAAACCAGAGACUGAAAAAGGCACUGAGGAUCUUGAGGUUGGCCAAGACACCAAGAAAAGGAAGACUUCUACAGCUUCCAAGCGGCUUCCUACCCUUAAGGAGUUUGAAGAGUCUAAACGUAAAGUUGAUCCUAAAAGGGUGAAGAGUCCUUCCUCGGGUGAUGAAGUUGUAGAGGUUUCUCCUCCUCUUAUGGGUGAUACAAUGCCAGGGGAGGCAGCAAUGGACCAACACCCAAUUGAUCCUAACAUGAGUUGGCAAGUUGCAGGUGAAGAGGUAGUUGAGGAACCUAGGGAAAUUCCUGAUCCCAAUGCGGCCAAGGAUCUUAAGUCUGAGCAGGUUCCUGAUCUUUCAACAACUCGGGAUCCUGAAGGUGUAUAGGUCCUUGAUCCUUCAACAUCCCUAGAUCCUGAAGGUGCACAAGUUUCUAAUCUCACAAUAGCAAAGGAUUCGGAGCCUGAGUAGACCCCCACGGUUCCUGAGCCUGAACAAGUUUUUGACCCUAUGGUGACCAAGGAGUCUGCUGAAGCUACAACUCCUCCCGUGAUAACUAGCCAAGUCAGGCCCCAAGUCAUUCCUGAGAGCGAGAUUAUUGACCUAACUUUAGAAGUAGAAAUCCAACAAGAUCCUGCUAAGGAGUCAAGGGAACAAGCAAGUGGACUUCCUGAGGUGAUAGGGGCAACCCUUCAAUUCAAGAGGAGGCUUCUUUGAAUGCACCAAAUGAAGCAAGUACUUGACUUUUCUCUUUCUCCCUCUUCUCCUUGCUUCAUAUACUUCCUUCUACUGAUGGUUCAUCAUUAUUAUUUUUUUUUCAGAUACUGAGAUGGGAACUAAGGAGCCUGAGUCUAUGACUGUUGAAGAAAUUGGGGGUCUCCAUCAUUUGUACAAGUUGCUGAGGUCUAGGCCGAGAUCCUUCAAGUAUUCCUAGAGCUGCAAGCCUUUCACUUCCUGAGGAGAGAGAUAUAGUAAUGAGAGAUCCUUUAUAUGCUGCCAUUGUGGAUCCUAGUGCUGGCUUCCUACCUUCUUAUCCUGCUUUGAUUUGUUGGAGUUUAACAGCCUUCCUGUGGUCCAUUUUCGUCGCUUUGGAGCAUUUUAUUCUAGUUUUCUUCACUUUUCUAUGCCUACUGAAGGUCUCCCACUCUUGGAGGAAUUAGUUAAGGUUCAUGGGGACUUCACUGCCAGGUUUAGAGGAGGUGUACUCUUGGGGAAUAUCUUGCUGGAGCUCCUUUGUGCUGUACUGAUUUCCCUAAAGAGCACUUCGCUUGAUUCUUUGUUUGAGGAAAAGCUUCUGGAAUGGAGAGGGAUAGUGUAGGAUCUUGUGGAAGCAAAUUUCAAUUUGUCUUUCUUGUUGGGAUAUCUUCAAUCAGUGGCACAGGCGUUCUUCCAGAGGAGGGCCACUAAGGAUCUUGAUGCUGAUAUUGGUGUUGCCAGGGAAGCCUUGGCUUGUUUGGAAGCUUGGAGGAAGCAAGCUUUCUUAGCCAUAACCACCUUAUCUUCUCCUCUGGUUCCUCCAGAAGGUUCCUUGUUCGUUGGCCUCCUGCUUUAGCCAUUUUAGGCCAAUUUGGCCUUGUAAUUGAACACUUCUUAUAAUUUUUUUUUUUUUUUUUUUUUUUUUUUUUUUUUUUUGUGGUUUACAUGAACUUCUGACCUUGUAUUGACUUAACCUUUUAAUUAUGCUUGGUAUUCCUUA